rnacentral:rRNA from 1 species
GAUGAACGCUAGCGACAGGCCUAACACAUGCAAGUCGAGGGGCAGCACGAAUCAAGCUUGCUUGAUUUGGUGGCGACCGGCGCACGGGUGCGUAACAGGUGUGCAAUCUGUCCAUAAUCGGGGAAUAGCCCAGCGAAAGUUGGAUUAAUGCUCCAUGUGAGCAGGGGAGGCAUCUCCUUUAUUUGAAACGUAAGGAUUAUGGGUGAGCACGCUUCUGAUUAGGUAGUUGGUGAGGUAACGGCUCACCAAGCCGACGAUCAGUAGGGGUUCUGAGAGGAAGGUCCCCCACACUGGUACUGAGACACGGACCAGACUCCUACGGGAGGCAGCAGUGAGGAAUAUUGGUCAAUGGGCGGAAGCCUGAACCAGCCAAGUAGCGUGAAGGAUUACAGCCCACGGGUUUAAACUUCUUUGUCUGNGGUAAAAAAGCGGAACGUGUCCGUUCUUGCAAGUAUCAGACGAAUAAGCAUCGGCU